AGCGAACGCUGGCGGCAUGCUUAACACAUGCAAGUCGCACGGUCAGCAAUGGCAGUGGCGGACGGGUGAGUAACGCGUAGGUAUCUAUCCUCGGGUGGGGGGACAACCACGGGGAAACUGUGGCUAAUACCGCAUGAUGACUGAGGUCUAAAGGCGCAAGUCGCCUGAGGAGGAGCCUGCGUCCGAUUAGCUAGUUGGUGGGGUAAAGGCCUACCCAAGGCUCCGAUCGGUAGCUGGUCUGAGAGGAUGAUCAGCCACACUGGGACUGAGACACGGCCUAGACUCCUACGGGAGGCAGCAGUGGGGAAUAUUGGACAAUGGGCGCAAGCCUGAUCCAGCAAUGCCGCGUGGGUGAAGAAGGUCUUCGGAUUGUAAAGCCCUUUCGACGGGGACGAUGAUGACGGUACCCGUAGAAGAAGCUCCGGCUAACUUCGUG
rnacentral:rRNA from 1 species